GUGCUUGCUUCAGCAGCACACAUACUAAAAUUGAAAUGAUACAGAGAAGAUUAGCAUGGCCACUGCACAAGGAAGACACACAAAUUCAUGAAGCAUUCCAUAUUAAA